GACGAACGCUGGCGGCGUGCCUAACACAUGCAAGUCGAGCGAAGUGUUUAGGAAUGAUCCCUUCGGGGAGAUUUCCUAAGUGUCUUAGCGGCGGACGGGUGAGUAACGCGUGAGAAACCUGCCUUUCACAAAGGGAUAGCCUCGGGAAACUGGGAUUAAUACCUUAUGAUACUUAUGAUCCACAUGGAUUUUAAGUUAAAGCGUAAAGCGGUGAAAGAUGGUCUCGCGUCCCAUUAGUUAGUUGGUGAGGUAACGGUUCACCAAGACAACGAUGGGUAGCCGGCCUGAGAGGGUGAUCGGCCACACUGGAACUGAGACACGGUCCAGACUCCUACGGGAGGCAGCAGUGGGGAAUAUUGCACAAUGGAGGAAAUUCUGAUGCAGCGACGUCGCGUGAACGAUGAAGGCUUUCGAGUCGUAAAGUUCUGUCCUAGGGGACGAUAAUGACGGUACCCUAGGA
rnacentral:rRNA from 1 species